rnacentral:rRNA from 1 species
UACGGGGGGGGGUAAGCGUUGUUCGGAAUUACUGGGCGUAAAGGGCUCGUAGGCGGCCAACUAAGUCAGACGUGAAAUCCCUCAGCUUAACUGGGGAACUGCGUCUGAUACUGGAUGGCUUGGAUUUGGGAGAGGGAUGCGGAAUUCCAGGUGUAGCGGUGAAAUGCGUAGAUAUCGUAAGGAAGAACCAGUGGCGAAGGCGGGGUC